AGGGUGAUCGGCCACAUUGGGACUGAGACACGGCCCAAACUCCUACGGGAGGCAGCAGUAGGGAAUCUUCGGCAAUGGACGAAAGUCUGACCGAGCAACGCCGCGUGAGUGAAGAAGGUUUUCGGAUCGUAAAACUCUGUUGUUAGAGAAGAACAAGGAUGAGAGUAACUGUUCAUCCCUUGACGGUAUCUAACCAGAAAGCCACGGCUAACUACGUGCCAGCAGCCGCGGUAAUACGUAGGUGGCAAGCGUUGUCCGGAUUUAUUGGGCGUAAAGCGAGCGCAGGCGGUUUCUUAAGUCUGAUGUGAAAGCCCCCGGCUCAACCGGGGAGGGUCAUUGGAAACUGGGAGACUUGAGUGCAGAAGAGGAGAGUGGAAUUCCAUGUGUAGCGGUGAAAUGCGUAGAUAUAUGGAGGAACACCAGUGGCGAAGGCGGCUCUCUGGUCUGUAACUGACGCUGAGGCUCGAAAGCGUGGGGAGCAAACAGGAUUAGAUACCCUGGUAGUCCACGCCGUAAACGAUGAGUGCUAAGUGUUGGAGGGUUUCCGCCCUUCAGUGCUGCAGCUAACGCAUUAAGCACUCCGCCUGGGGAGUACGACCGCAAGGUUGAAACUCAAAGGAAUUGACGGGGGCCCGCACAAGCGGUGGAGCAUGUGGUUUAAUUCGAAGCAACGCGAAGAACCUUACCAGGUCUUGACAUCCUUUGACCACUCUAGAGAUAGAGCUUCCCCUUCGGGGGCAAAGUGACAGGUGGUGCAUGGUUGUCGUCAGCUCGUGUCGUGAGAUGUUGGGUUAAGUCCCGCAACGAGCGCAACCCUUAUUGUUAGUUGCCAUCAUUUAGUUGGGCACUCUAGCAAGACUGCCGGUGACAAACCGGAGGAAGGUGGGGAUGACGUCAAAUCAUCAUGCCCCUUAUGACCUGGGCUACACACGUGCUACAAUGGGAAGUACAACGAGUCGCGAAGUCGCGAGGCUAAGCUAAUCUCUUAAAGCUUCUCUCAGUUCGGAUUGUAGGCUGCAACUCGCCUACAUGAAGCCGGAAUCGCUAGUAAUCGCGGAUCAGCACGCCGCGGUGAAUACGUUCCCGGGCCUUGUACACACCGCCCGUCACACCACGAGAGUUUUAACACCCGAAGUCGGUGAG
rnacentral:rRNA from 1 species